rnacentral:rRNA from 1 species
AAAACAGGGACGAACGCUGGCGGCGUGCCUAACACAUGCAAGUCGAACGGAGAAUUUUAUUUCGGUAGAAUUCUUAGUGGCGAACGGGUGAGUAACGCGUAGGCAACCUGCCCUUUAGACGGGGACAACAUUCCGAAAGGAGUGCUAAUACCGGAUGUGAUCAUCGUGCCGCAUGGCAGGAUGAAGAAAGAUGGCCUCUACAAGUAAGCUAUCGCUAAAGGAUGGGCCUGCGUCUGAUUAGCUAGUUGGUAGUGUAACGGACUACCAAGGCGAUGAUCAGUAGCCGGUCUGAGAGGAUGAACGGCCACAUUGGGACUGAGACACGGCCCAA